rnacentral:rRNA from 1 species
AAGCUGUAAAGUGAAGGCAUAGGGAAACCGAAACUUCUGAAAUAGGAGAAAGUUAUAUACAUUUGACCCGAAACCAAGUGAUCUAAUUUUGAGCAGAUUGAAGUCGGAAGAUGGAGGAUCGAACCGACCAGUGUAGAAAAACUGGCGGAUGACUUGAGAUUAGGGGUGAAAGGCUAAUCAAACUUGGAGAUAGCUGGUACUCCGCGAAAGCUAUGUAGGUAGCGCGCACAUGUAAAACUGGGAGUAAAGCACUGUAUCGAGAAGGGUUACCGACUCGAAGCAAACUCAGAACACCAGUAGUUUCAGAAUGUGUAGACAGUCCAUGAGGGAGAAGCUUCAUGGACAAGAGGGAAACAGCCCAGAACAUAAAAUAAGGUUCCAAAGAUUUUGCUAAGUGGAAAGGAAGUGAACAAACGAAGACAGCAAGAAGGUAGGCUUGGAAGCAGCCAUCCUUGAAAGAAAGCGUACCAGCUCACUUGUAUACUGUUUGUUUGCGCCGAAGAUGAAAGGGAACUCAAGCAAAACACCGAAGUUAUGUACUUGAAAAUAUUCAAGUGGUAGCGGAGCAUUCUGUAGACCGUUGAAAUCUUUUUGGGAAAAGAGAUGGAGGAAUCAGAAGAGAGAAUGCUGACAUAAGUAACGAUAAAUAUUGUGAGAAACAAUAUCGCCGAAAACGAAAGGUUUUCUACGUAAAGAUAAUCUGCGUAGAGUUAGACCGGACCCUAAGGUUGAUCUGAAAAGAAUACACCGAUGAGAAUGUUAUAGGAGACACUUUUUCAAGAUACUGUGGACGAGAAAGGCGAAUACAGUGUUGCGAAAGAGGCUAGAAAGAUCUAAUAACACAAAACCGUACUAUAAACCGACACAGGUUCGUACGUCGCGUAGACGAAGGCGCUAGAGAUAACCAUUGAUAAGGAACUCGGCAAAAUGACCUCGUAACAUAGGAGAAGAGGGGCUCUAGCAAUAGAGUGGCACAUAAUCGGGGAGGGCAACUGUUUAAUAAAAACACAUGUCUCUGCAAAAUCGUAAGAUGAAGUAAAGGGACUGACGUCUGCCCGGUGCCAGAAAGAUAAAAGGAGGGGUGAAAGCUUCGAAUUGAAGGACUGGUAAACGGCGGUCGUAACUCUAACGAUCCUAAGGUAGCGUAACCCACUGACAGAUAAUUACUGUCCCGCAUGAAUGACGUAAUGACUUUCCUGCUGUCUCAUCAAUGGACCCUGUGAAAUUGGAAUAUGCGUGAAGAUACGCAUUAACUGUAGCUAGACGGAAAGACCCUAUGCACCUUGACGACAGCUUUUUAUUGUUGAAUGAAAAAAGAUAGACGUAGGAGGUGAAAGCCGAAAUAUGGAAAACUACGUAUCGUUUUUUGUAAAACUAACCCUUACAACCGGGGAAAGUGAAUGGUGGGUCGUUUGGCUGGGGCGGCGGCCUUCGAAAGAGUAACGAAGGCGCACGAAGGUAAACUCAUUGCUGUCGGAAAUAGCAAGUAGAGCGUAAGAGUAUAUGUUUGCCUGACUGUAAGACGUACAUGUCGAGCAGGGACGCAAGUCGGUUCUAGUGAUCCGGUGGUUCUUUAUGGAAAGGCCAUCGCUCAACGGAUAAAAGGUACGCUAGGGAUAACAGGCUGAUACUUCCCAAGAGUUCAUAUCGACGGAAGUGUUUGGCACCUCGAUGUCGGCUCUAGAUAGCGAGCGGCUGGAGCAGGUCGCAAUCGUUGGACUGUUCGUCCAUUAAAAUCUAACGUGAGCUGGGUUUAGAACGUCGUGAGACAGUUCGGUCCCUAUCUACUAUAGUCGCAGAAUUUUGAGAAGAGCUUUCCCUAGUACGAGAGGACCGGGACGGAGCAAUCCAUAGUGAACCAGCUGUUUACUUAAAAGCAUCGCUGGGUAGCCACAUUGCGAACGGAUAACUACUGAAAGCAUAUAAGUAGGAAGCCGCCUUCAAGAUUAGAAUUCAAAGCCCCGAUCUAGACUAGGUCGUUGA